rnacentral:rRNA from 1 species
UCCUACGGGGCGCAGCAGUGAGGAAUAUUGGUCAAUGGUCGGGAGACUGAACCAGCCAAGCCGCGUGAGGGAUGAAGGUACAGAGUAUCGUAAACCUCUUUUGUCAGGGAACAAAGGCGGGGACGUGUCCCCGGAUGAGUGUACCUGAAGAAAAAGCAUCGGCUAACUCCGUGCCAGCAGCCGCGGUAAUACGGAGGAUGCGAGCGUUAUCCGGAUUUAUUGGGUUUAAAGGGUGCGUAGGCGGAAGGUUAAGUCAGCGGUCAAAUGUCGGUGCUCAACACCGGCCUGCCGUUGAAACUGGUCUU